AAUGAUGGCCAGGCUGUCUCCACCCGAGACUCAGUGAAAUUGAACUCGCUGUGAAGAUGCAGUGUACCCGCGGCAAGACGGAAAGACCCCGUGAACCUUUACUAUAGCUUGACACUGAACAUUGAGCCUUGAUGUGUAGGAUAGGUGGGAGGCUUUGAAGUGUGGACGCCAGUCUGCAUGGAGCCGACCUUGAAAUACCACCCUUUAAUGUUUGAUGUUCUAACGUUGACCCGUAAUCCGGGUUGCGGACAGUGUCUGGUGGGUAGUUUGACUGGGGCGGUCUCCUCCUAAAGAGUAACGGAGGAGCACGAAGGUUGGCUAAUCCUGGUCGGACAUCAGGAGGUUAGUGCAAUGGCAUAAGCCAGCUUGACUGCGAGCGUGACGGCGCGAGCAGGUGCGAAAGCAGGUCAUAGUGAUCCGGUGGUUCUGAAUGGAAGGGCCAUCGCUCAACGGAUAAAAGGUACUCCGGGGAUAACAGGCUGAUACCGCCCAAGAGUUCAUAUCGACGGCGGUGUUUGGCACCUCGAUGUCGGCUCAUCACAUCCUGGGGCUGAAGUAGGUCCCAAGGGUAUGGCUGUUCGCCAUUUAAAGUGGUACGCGAGCUGGGUUUAGAACGUCGUGAGACAGUUCGGUCCCUAUCUGCCGUGGGCGCUGGAGAACUGAGGGGGGCUGCUCCUAGUACGAGAGGACCGGAGUGGACGCAUCACUGGUGUUCGGGUUGUCAUGCCAAUGGCACUGCCCGGUAGCUAAAUGCGGAAGAGAUAAGUGCUGAAAGCAUCUAAGCACGAAACUUGCCCCGAGAUGAGUUCUCCCUGACUCCUUGAGAGUCCUGAAGGAACGUUGAAGACGACGACGUUGAUAGGCCGGGUGUGUAAGCGCAGCGAUGCGUUGAGCUAACCGGUACUAAUGAACCGUGAGGCUUAACCUUACAACGCCGAAGCUGUU
rnacentral:rRNA from 1 species